rnacentral:rRNA from 1 species
UUAAGCGACUAAGCGUACACGGUGGAUGCCCUGGCAGUCAGAGGCGAUGAAGGACGUGCUAAUCUGCGAAAAGCGUCGGUAAGGUGAUAUGAACCGUUAUAACCGGCGAUGUCCGAAUGGGGAAACCCAGUGCAAUUCGUUGCACUAUCGUUAACUGAAUACAUAGGUUAACGAGGCGAACCGGGGGAACUGAAACAUCUAAGUACCCCGAGGAAAAGAAAUCAACCGAGAUUCCCCCAGUAGCGGCGAGCGAACGGGGAGCAGCCCAGAGUCUGAAUCAGCUUGUGUGUUAGUGGAACGGUCUGGAAAGUCCGACGGUACAGGGUGAUAGUCCCGUACACCAAAAUGCACAGGCUGUGAACUCGAAGAGUAGGGCGGGACACGUGGUAUCCUGUCUGAAUAUGGGGGGACCAUCCUCCAAGGCUAAAUACUCCUGACUGACCGAUAGUGAACCAGUACCGUGAGGGAAAGGCGAAAAGAACCCCGGCGAGGGGAGUGAAAAAGAACCUGAAACCGUGUACGUACAAGCAGUGGGAGCACCUUCGGGUGUGACUGCGUACCUUUUGUAUAAUGGGUCAGCGACUUAUAUUCUGUAGCAAGGUUAACCGUAUAGGGGAGCCGCAGGGAAACCGAGUCUUAACUGGGCGUUAAGUUGCAGGGUAUAGACCCGAAACCCGGUGAUCUAGCCAUGGGCAGGUUGAAGGUUGGGUAACACUAACUGGAGGACCGAACCGACUAAUGUUGAAAAAUUAGCGGAUGACUUGUGGCUGGGGGUGAAAGGCCAAUCAAACCGGGAGAUAGCUGGUUCUCCCCGAAAGCUAUUUAGGUAGCGCCUCGUGAACUCAUCUUCGGGGGUAGAGCACUGUUUCGGCUAGGGGGUCAUCCCGACUUACCAACCCGAUGCAAACUACGAAUACCGAAGAAUGUUAUCACGGGAGACACACGGCGGGUGCUAACGUCCGUCGUGAAGAGGGAAACAACCCAGACCGCCAGCUAAGGUCCCAAAGUCAUGGUUAAGUGGGAAACGAUGUGGGAAGGCACAGACAGCCAGGAUGUUGGCUUAGAAGCAGCCAUCAUUUAAAGAAAGCGUAAUAGCUCACUGGUCGAGUCGGCCUGCGCGGAAGAUGUAACGGGGCUAAACCAUGCACCGAAGCUGCGGCAGCGACACUAUGUGUUGUUGGGUAGGGGAGCGUUCUGUAAGCCUGCGAAGGUGUGCUGUGAGGCAUGCUGGAGGUAUCAGAAGUGCGAAUGCUGACAUAAGUAACGAUAAAGCGGGUGAAAAGCCCGCUCGCCGGAAGACCAAGGGUUCCUGUCCAACGUUAAUCGGGGCAGGGUGAGUCGACCCCUAAGGCGAGGCCGAAAGGCGUAGUCGAUGGGAAACAGGUUAAUAUUCCUGUACUUGGUGUUACUGCGAAGGGGGGACGGAGAAGGCUAUGUUAGCCGGGCGACGGUUGUCCCGGUUUAAGCAUGUAGGCUGGUUGUCCAGGCAAAUCCGGAUAAUCAAGGCUGAGGUGUGAUGACGAGGCACUACGGUGCUGAAGUAACAAAUGCCCUGCUUCCAGGAAAAGCCUCUAAGCAUCAGGUAACAUUAAAUCGUACCCCAAACCGACACAGGUGGUCAGGUAGAGAAUACCAAGGCGCUUGAGAGAACUCGGGUGAAGGAACUAGGCAAAAUGGUGCCGUAACUUCGGGAGAAGGCACGCUGGUGUGUAGGUGAAGUCCCUGCGGAUGGAGCUGAGACCAGUCGAAGAUACCAGCUGGCUGCAACUGUUUAUUAAAAACACAGCACUGUGCAAACACGAAAGUGGACGUAUACGGUGUGACGCCUGCCCGGUGCCGGAAGGUUAAUUGAUGGGGUUAUCCGUAAGGAGAAGCUCUUGAUCGAAGCCCCGGUAAACGGCGGCCGUAACUAUAACGGUCCUAAGGUAGCGAAAUUCCUUGUCGGGUAAGUUCCGACCUGCACGAAUGGCGUAAUGAUGGCCAGGCUGUCUCCACCCGAGACUCAGUGAAAUUGAACUCGCUGUGAAGAUGCAGUGUACCCGCGGCAAGACGGAAAGACCCCGUGAACCUUUACUAUAGCUUGACACUGAACAUUGAGCCUUGAUGUGUAGGAUAGGUGGGAGGCUUUGAAGCGUGGACGCCAGUCUGCGUGGAGCCAACCUUGAAAUACCACCCUUUAAUGUUUGAUGUUCUAACGUUGGCCCCUGACCGGGGUUGCGGACAGUGUCUGGUGGGUAGUUUGACUGGGGCGGUCUCCUCCCAAAGCGUAACGGAGGAGCACGAAGGUUAGCUAAUCCUGGUCGGACAUCAGGAGGUUAGUGCAAUGGCAUAAGCUAGCUUGACUGCGAGCGUGACGGCGCGAGCAGGUGCGAAAGCAGGUCAUAGUGAUCCGGUGGUUCUGAAUGGAAGGGCCAUCGCUCAACGGAUAAAAGGUACUCCGGGGAUAACAGGCUGAUACCGCCCAAGAGUUCAUAUCGACGGCGGUGUUUGGCACCUCGAU